rnacentral:rRNA from 1 species
AUUGAACGCUGGCGGCAGGCCUAACACAUGCAAGUCGACCGAGUGGCGGACGGGUGAGUAAUGUCUGGGAAACUGCCUGAUGGAGGGGGAUAACUACUGGAAACGGUAGCUAAUACCGCAUACCAUCGGAUGUGCCCAGAUGGGAUUAGCUAGUAGGUGGGGUAACGGCUCACCUAGGAGACUAUCCCUAGCUGGUCUGAGCAGCUGACCAGACACACUGGAACUGAGACACGGUCCAGACUCCGACGAGAGGCAGCAGUGGGUAAUAUUGCACAAUGAGCGCAAGCCUGAUGCGGCCAUGCCGCGUGUAUGAAGAAGGCCUUCGGGUUGUAAAGUACUUUCAGCGGGGAGGCGUUACCCGCAGAAGAAGCACCGGCUAACUCCGUGCCAGCAACCGCGUUAAUAC